ensembl:lncRNA
CGGGUUCUACUCCUACUCUGCCUUCCCGCUCCCACCUGAGGCCUUCAUCUCUUAAAGUAUGGAGGUCAUAAUCUGGAUGUUCGCGAACAAUCCUUUUAAGCUCGCGGCUCAAAUUUCCAUCCCGGACACCCUCUACAAACUGAUCAGAAAGCAGUCUAGCAGCCUCAGGAAUUCGCCUGUCUGGAAAACUUUGGAUCAUUUUGUCCAUGAGAGAAAACAAUGCAUGGGAGAAUUCCCUCAGUGACUCUACUUCUUGCUGCCUUCUUGCAUAAAAAGCUUCCUUAACAGCAAUAAAGGACAUGGGGCAACCAUACUGGCUAAGGAGAAUAUCAAAAAUGCAGUCUGGACCUUCUCUUACUUGCUGGGACCUAUAUUUUAUUUCCUCACGAGCAUCACCAGUCAAAUGAUCAUAGACAUAAUGGGCUCUAUCAACAGGGGCAAGUCUACGAGUGCGCAUUACAGAUUUUAUUUCCUCCACCCAACUUUGGACACUAAUUUCCCCAGUUCCACUAAACAGGGGGCACGACCUCUCUCUAGGGAUAUAAACCAGCCUCUCUUGGAGAGAGCCCUCCAUAGGGGUAGAGUCAUGAGGUCUACAGGGGCUAGAAAUGCCUGAUUGGGACUCCAUAAUAAAAAAAUAAAAACCCUCAACAGUAAGUGCCUACUGUGUUUAAAUGCAGAUUACACUUUGUUACCACCAGGAUUUACCAGCUGCUGCUUUGCCAAAAAUAAAUAAAUAAAUACAAAUAUAAAACAGUUUAAAACACACACCCAUAAAAAUAAAAAUUUUACACAAACCAACUGACUAAUCGCUGUGCACACCUAGAGGCUCAUCCUGUCGACAACGCCAGUUUGUGACCCGUGGUAGGUACCUAUUUAAAAUAGGACAGAGCCGUAGGCGCACAGUCAGUUUAAAAGAGUUUAAUUUUUAAUACAAAAUAAAAGAAACAGUGUAACAGCAGCACCUAAAAACAAUUAAAAACGUUACCUUAUUAAAAAAACUAUAAAACUGUACGAUUGCCCGUGAGGCAGGACAAGCGCUGCGGGGAACAGUUUAAAAACAAAUCGACAUAGCACACAGGUUAAAAAUGGACGGCAACUCACACAUGACCCCAAAUGGGUAAAACACUAUACAAAAAAAAGGCAAAUCUUCGGUGCCGUCUUCACUCGGGCCCCCCGCUGUGCAUGCAAGAGCGGGGAGACAAAAAAAGGAUUUGUUUUCCCUGCAGCGCCUUCACCGCCUGCGAAUCAAUAUCUGUGGUGCCUACUGAUACAGAAAAAGUAAAACAAAAAAACAAAACCAUCGACAGCCGCAGCAGUCAGUCUGUCGGCUUACACCAGUUUAAAACAAAUUAAAACACACUGAUGUGUCGGGUCCUUUGCCCGCAGCCAGAAAUCCACCUGGCAAAGCAGCAGCUCGGUACUCUGUGAAUAAAAGGCAGGAGAUCACUAGCUGGACAAUAAAACACAGGAAUAUUCCUCCACUGAAUUGGUUUUAUUACCUGUCCA